AACGAACGCUGGCGGCAGGCUUAACACAUGCAAGUCGAACGCUCGUCUUCGGACGGGAGUGGCAGACGGGUGAGUAACGCGUGGGAACGUACCCUUCGGUUCGGAAUAACCCGGGGAACUCGGAUUAAUACCGGAUACGUCCGUCUCUGGAGACAGAGGGGGAGAAAGAUUUAUCGCCGAAGGAUCGGCCCGCGUCGGAUUAGCUAGUUGGUGGGGUAAUGGCCCACCAAGGCGACGAUCCGUAGCUGGUCUGAGAGGAUGAUCAGCCACACUGGGACUGAGACACGGCCCAGACUCCUACGGGAGGCAGCAGUGGGGAAUAUUGGACAAUGGGCGAAAGCCUGAUCCAGCCAUGCCGCGUGAGUGAAGAAGGCCUUAGGGUUGUAAAGCUCUUUCAGCGGGGAAGAUAAUGACGGUACCCGCAGAAGAAGCCCCGG
rnacentral:rRNA from 1 species